rnacentral:rRNA from 1 species
AUUGAACGCUGGCGGCAUGCCUUACACAUGCAAGUCGAACGGUAACAGGUCUUCGGAUGCUGACGAGUGGCGAACGGGUGAGUAAUACAUCGGAACGUGCCUAGUAGUGGGGGAUAACUACUCGAAAGAGUGGCUAAUACCGCAUGAGAUCUACGGAUGAAAGCAGGGGAUCGCAAGACCUUGUGCUACUAGAGCGGCCGAUGGCAGAUUAGGGAGUUGGUGGGAUAAAAGCUUACCAAGCCGACGAUCUGUAGCUGGUCUGAGAGGACGAUCAGCCACACGGGGACUGAGAAACGGCCCAGACUCCUACGGGAGGCAGCAGUGGGGAAUUUUGGACAAUGGGCGCAAGCCUGAUCCAGCAAUGCCGCGUGCAGGAUGAAGGCCUUCGGGUUGUAAACUGCUUUUGUACGGAACGAAAAGCCCCGGGUUAAUACCCUGGGGUCGAUGACGGUACCGGAAGAAUAAGGACCGGCUAACUACGUGCCAGCCGCCGCCGUAA